rnacentral:misc_RNA from 1 species
UCCGGUUCAUCACCAGCAGUCUCCUUAGAGUCCCCGCCAUUACGCGUUGGCAACUAAGGAUAAGGGUUGCGCUCGUUACGGGACUUAACCCAACAUCUCACAACACGAGCUGACGACAGCCAUGCAGCACCUGUCUCAUGGUUCCUUUCGGCACUCCCAUAUCUCUACAGGAUUCCAUGGAUGUCAAGGGUAGGUAAGGUUCUUCGCGUAGCAUCGAAUUAAACCACAUGCUCCACCGCUUGUGCGGGCCCCCGUCAAUUUCUUUGAGUUUUAACCUUGCGGCCGUACUCCCCAGGCGGAAAACUUAUCGCGUUAGCUUCGAUACUAAACAGUCAUGCUGCCCAACAUCUAGUUUUCAUCGUUUACAGCGUGGACUAC